GAAGCCCGCCAGACUGCCGCUGGUGCAAUUCUGGAAACAGAGCACUGGAGGAACGUCCGGACUGCAUAGGGCAGCGUAGCAGCUAACGGCUGUCCACUGAAAGCCUGAGCCGCAAGGCCUGGGUAUAAGGUGAGGAUCAGAGCAACAGAGACGAGUCGGCGUAGGUAUCCUGUUUCGGGUGUUCUAUGUGUGUAGGUUGGCGCAAGCCAGCCCCCGGGUAACCGGGAGCGCAUAGCCAUCCAUAGCGGGCUCUGCCUGCAAUGGGUGAAACGGGCAAUCUCUACGCGCAGCAAUACCAAGUAGGCCAACGUUGACGGGGCCCCCGGAGUUGGCGGGUAGGUAGCACCGAGCCACUGAGUGAUCAGUGGCCCAGAUUAAUGGCAGUCACGCCUGGGGAAACCCGGGCGCACAGAAUCCGGCUUAUCGGUGGGCUUCACAC
rnacentral:RNase_P_RNA from 1 species